rnacentral:lncRNA from 1 species
GUGGCGCUCCAUGAGAGCACAGAAAUACGUCGCAGCAUCCCCCAGCUGCGAGUCGGAGAUCUCCAGGCUGAAGGACUUAGCUGCUUUCUGGAAGUUCACAGAGAAGCGGUUUAACGUUGCAUUAUACUGCUUGUAUGCUUCUUGGAGAAUGACGAGAGUCACCUGCCCUCCUUGCUGUUUGUACCAGAACAAGAGGCCCAUGACCUCCUCACAACAUAAGAAGCAUUUAGCCAAACUGUGAAAGCUCCAAUAGUCUUCAGCAGCUCCAACACUGUUCAAAAGUAUCUCUGAACCUUGAGGAGAGGAGUUUUAUGAGGAGCAUGUGCAACUGCCACCCCAAGAUGGCAUCCAGGACGGCUGCCAGGUCUUAUGACCUGCGCCUGACUUCCUCAUUACCUCAGACUUAGCCACAUCCCAGCCGCCUGCACUGCGCAGACGCCAUGCCUCGUCAGCUCGCUUGAGGUGUUGUCACUUGCUGUGAACCAAUGGACUGCCGUUACGUGACUGGGGUGGAGUCAGUAGGGUAUUUAAGGCACACCCCGGGGUUGUUGGGCGGGGGUAGGGGGUGGGGGAUUCCCAUUCCUGCAUUGCAAUUGGAAGUGUUCCUGAAUAAACCUGCUUGAAGAAGGACAA